AUUGAACGCCGGCGGCAUGCUUUACACAUGCAAGUCGAACGGUAACAGGCCGCAAGGUGCUGACGAGUGGCGAACGGGUGAGUAAUGCAUCGGAACGUGCCCAGUCGUGGGGGAUAACUACUCGAAAGAGUAGCUAAUACCGCAUACGAUCUAUGGAUGAAAGCGGGGGACCGUAAGGCCUCGCGCGAUUGGAGCGGCCGAUGUCAGAUUAGGUAGUUGGUGGGGUAAAGGCUCACCAAGCCAACGAUCUGUAGCUGGUCUGAGAGGACGACCAGCCACACUGGGACUGAGACACGGCCCAGACUCCUACGGGAGGCAGCAGUGGGGAAUUUUGGACAAUGGGCGCAAGCCUGAUCCAGCAAUGCCGCGUGCAGGAAGAAGGCCCUCGGGUUGUAAACUGCUUUUGUACGGAACGAAACGGCUCUGGUUAAUACCCGGGGCUAAUGACGGUACCGUAAGAAUAAGCACCGGCUAACUACGUG
rnacentral:rRNA from 1 species